rnacentral:tRNA from 1 species
CAAAUCAGAGCUUGUUAAAGCAUUUUAUUUACACUAAAAAGUUUAUUGAUUAUUUCAAUUGAUUUGA